AGAGUUUCAUCCUGGCUCAGGAUGAACGCUGGCGGCGCGCCUAACACAUGCAAGUCGAACGAGCGAGAGAGAGCUUGCUUUCUCGAGCGAGUGGCGAACGGGUGAGUAACGCGUGAGGAACCUGCCUCAAAGAGGGGGACAACAGUUGGAAACGACUGCUAAUACCGCAUAAGCCCACGGGUCGGCAUCGACCAGAGGGAAAAGGAGCAAUCCGCUUUGAGAUGGCCUCGCGUCCGAUUAGCUAGUUGGUGAGGUAACGGCCCACCAAGGCGACGAUCGGUAGCCGGACUGAGAGGUUGAACGGCCACAUUGGGACUGAGACACGGCCCAGACUCCUACGGGAGGCAGCAGUGGGGAAUAUUGCACAAUGCGGGGAAACCCUGAUGCAGCGACGCCGCGUGGAGGAAGAAGGUCUUCGGAUUGUAAACUCCUGCUGUUGGGGAAGAUAAUGACGGUACCCAACAAGGAAGUGACGGCUAACUACGUGCCAGCAGCCGCGGUAAAACGUAGGUCACAAGCGUUGUCCGGAAUUACUGGGUGUAAAGGGAGCGCAGGCGGGAAGACAAGUUGGAAGUGGAAUCUAUGGGCUCAACCCAUAAACUGCUUUCUAAGACUGUUUUUCUUGAGUAGUGCAGAGGUAGGCGGAAUUCCCGGUGUAGCGGUGGAAUGCGUAGAUAUCGGGAGGAACACCAGUGGCGAAGGCGGCCUACUGGGCACCAACUGACGCUGAGGCUCGAAAGUGUGGGUAGCAAACAGGAUUAGAUACCCUGGUAGUCCACACCCGUAAACGAUGAUUAC
rnacentral:rRNA from 1 species